UACGAAGGGGGCUAGCGUUGCUCGGAAUGACUGGGCGUAAAGGGCGCGUAGGCGGAAUGCUUUGUCGGGCGUGAAAUUCCAGGGCUCAACCUUGGGGCUGCGUUCGAGACGGGUAUUCUUGAGUUCGGAAGAGGGUCGUGGAAUUCCCAGUGUAGAGGUGAAAUUCGUAGAUAUUGGGAAGAACACCGGUGGCGAAAGCGGCUCACUGGACCACGACUGACGCUGAGGCGCGAAAGCUAGGGGAGCAAACAGG
rnacentral:rRNA from 1 species